rnacentral:tmRNA from 1 species
GGGGGCGAAUUGGAUUCGACCGGGUAGGCAGAAGUGGAAGUGGCGUGUCGUGGUUGGUCAGUUGGCCACGUAAAAAGCUGACUAAAAAUUUAGUUGCAGAUGCAAAUCUAGCAAUGGCAGCCUAAAUAAGGUUGUCCUGACUGAGGGGGUCCGCCGGAGACGCCCGACUGUCAGUUGCAAUUCCGGAUCGUUUGUCCCCGUGCUAGGCACGUGAUGAACUAAAAAAAGCUCCUAGCUGGUCCGAUCGAUAGUCUUGCCAAUAGACGCUCGAGAGGACGAGAAACAAAUCAUUGGCUACACACGUAGAGGCUUUCAUGGAAAUAUCGCGGGACGCGGGUUCGAUUCCCGCCGCCUCCACCU